AUGCAUGCGACGAGUUCAAAAUAGGACGAAACACGCGUCCUGGAU
rnacentral:hammerhead_ribozyme from 1 species